UAUUUGUCCAAUAUCGAAAUGGA
rnacentral:snRNA from 1 species